GUUUAAAGCCAUACCAUCCUGAACUCGCCCGAUCUCAUCUGAUCUCAGAAGCUAAACAGGGUUGGACCUGGUAAUCAUCAUCA
rnacentral:rRNA from 1 species